rnacentral:misc_RNA from 1 species
AGGUCUAACCAAAGGUUUCCGUAGGUGAACCUGCGGAAGGAUCCAAUUAUCGUAGGGGACGUUCGCCCUUAUCGAGAUAGAACCCUUGCCUUUAUAGUACCCUUCUGUUGCCUCGGCAAUGCGUAAUAGCACAGCCAAUGGGGCCAAAAAUAAACCUUGUAUUAUAGUCAUAGUCUGAAAAACAAACAAAAAUUAAAA